ensembl:snRNA U6 U6 spliceosomal RNA
UUGCUCGCUUUGGCAGCACAUAUACUAAAAUUAAAACAAUAUAGAGAAGAUUCGCAUGGCCCCUGCACAAGGAUGACAUACAAAUUCGUGAAGCAUUCCAUAAUUAA